rnacentral:rRNA from 1 species
CAGUCGCCGCGGUAAUGCGUAGGUGGCAAGCGUUGUCCGGAAUUAUUGGGCGUAAAGGGCUCGCAGGCGGUUUCUUAAGUCUGAUGUGAAAGCCCCCGGCUCAACCGGGGAGGGUCAUUGGAAACUGGGAAACUUGAGUGCAGAAGAGGAGAGUGGAAUUCCACGUGUAGCGGUGAAAUGUGUAGAGAUGUGGAGGAACACCAGUGGCGAAGGCGACUCUCUGGUCUGUAACUGACGCUGAGGAGCGAAAGCGUGGGGAGCGAACAGGAUUAGAGACCCCUGUAGUCCCUGUCUCUUAUAC